rnacentral:rRNA from 1 species
AGUGAACGCUGGCGGUAGGCCUAACACAUGCAAGUCGAACGGCAGCACAGUAAGAGCUUGCUCUUACGGUUGGCGAGUGGCGGACGGGUGAGGAAUACAUCGGAAUCUACUUUUUCUUGGGGGAUAACGUAGGGAAACUUACGCUAAUACCGCAUACGACCUACGGGUGAAAGCAGGGGAUCUUCGGACCUUUCGCGAUUGGAUUAGCCGAUGUCGGAUUAGCUAGUUGGCGGGGUAAAGGCCCACCAAGGCGACGAUCCGUAGCUGGUCUGAGAGGAUGAUCAGCCACACUGGAACUGAGACACGGUCCAGACUCCUACGGGAGGCAGCAGUGGGGAAUAUUGGACAAUGGGCGAAAGCCUGAUCCAGCCAUACCGCGUGGGUGAAGAAGGCCUUCGGGUUGUAAAGCCCUUUUGUUGGGAAAGAAAAGCAGCAGGUUAAUACCCCGCUGUUCUGACGGUACCCAAAGAAUAAGCACCGGCUAACUUCGUG